rnacentral:rRNA from 1 species
UACGGGAGGAGCAGUGGGGAAUAUUGCACAAUGGGCGCAAGCCUGAUGCAGCCAUGCCGCGUGUAUGAAGAAGGCCUUCGGGUUGUAAAGUACUUUCAGUCGUGAGGAAGGUGUUAAGGUUAAUAACCUUAGCAAUUGACGUUAGCGACAGAAGAAGCACCGGCUAACUCCGUGCCAGCAGCCGCGGUAAUACGGAGGGUGCGAGCGUUAAUCGGAAUUACUGGGCGUAAAGGGCACGCAGGCGGUUAAUUAAGUUGGAUGUGAAAUCCCCGGGCUUAACCUGGGAAUGGCAUUCAAGACUGGUUAGCUAGAGUCUUGUAGAGGGGGUAGAAUUCCAUGUGUAGCGGUGAAAUGCGUAGAGAUGUGGAGGAAUACCGGUGGCGAAGGCGGCCCCUGGACAAAGACUGACGCUCAUGUGCGAAAGCGUGGGGAGCAAACGAGGAUUAGAUACC